rnacentral:rRNA from 1 species
CACAUAGGGCGCGAGCGUUGUCCGGAAUUAUUGGGCGUAAAGAGCUCGUAGGCGGCCUGUUGCGUCCGCUGUGAAAGCCCGGGGCUUAACCCCGGGUCUGCAGUGGAUACGGGCAGGCUAGAGGUAGGUAGGGGAGAAUGGAAUUCCCGGUGUAGCGGUGAAAUGCGCAGAUAUCGGGAGGAACACCGGUGGCGAAGGCGGUUCUCUGGGCCUUACCUGACGCUGAGGAGCGAAAGCGUGGGGAGCGAACAGG